rnacentral:rRNA from 1 species
GAGAAUGCCGGUGUGAGUAGCGAAAGACGGGUGAGAAUCCCGUCCACCGAUUGACUAAGGUUUCCAGAGGAAGGCUCGUCCGCUCUGGGUUAGUCGGGUCCUAAGCUGAGGCCGACAGGCGUAGGCGAUGGAUAACAGGUUGAUAUUCCUGUACCACCUAUAAUCGUUUUAAUCGAUGGGGGGACGCAGUAGGAUAGGCGAAGCGUGCGAUUGGAUUGCACGUCUAAGCAGUAAGGCUGAGUAUUAGGCAAAUCCGGUACUCGUUAAGGCUGAGCUGUGAUGGGGAGAAGACAUUGUGUCUUCGAGUCGUUGAUUUCACACUGCCGAGAAAAGCCUCUAGAUAGAAAAUAGGUGCCCGUACCGCAAACCGACACAGGUAGUCAAGAUGAGAAUUCUAAGGUGAGCGAGCGAACUCUCGUUAAGGAACUCGGCAAAAUGACCCCGUAACUUCGGGAGAAGGGGUGCUCUUUAGGGUUAACGCCCAGAAGAGCCGCAGUGAAUAGGCCCAAGCGACUGUUUAUCAAAAACACAGGUCUCUGCUAAACCGUAAGGUGAUGUAUAGGGGCUGACGCCUGCCCGGUGCUGGAAG